rnacentral:rRNA from 1 species
AGAGUUUGCUUCUGGCUCAGGAUGAACGCUAGCGACAGGCUUAACACAUGCAAGUCGAGGGGCAGCACAGGUAGCAAUACCGGGUGGCGACCGGCGCACGGGUGAGUAACGCGUAUGCAACUUACCUAUCAGAGGGGGAUAACCCGGCGAAAGUCGGACUAAUACCGCAUGAAGCAGGGGCCCCGCAUGGGGAUAUUUGCUAAAGAUUCAUCGCUGAUAGAUAGGCAUGCGUUCCAUUAGGCAGUUGGCGGGGUAACGGCCCACCAAACCGACGAUGGAUAGGGGUUCUGAGAGGAAGGUCCCCCACAUUGGUACUGAGACACGGACCAAACUCCUACGGGAGGCAGCAGUGAGGAAUAUUGAUCAAUGGCCGAGAGGCUGAACCAGCCAAGUCGCGUGAGGGAUGAAGGUUCUAUGGAUCGUAAACCCCUUUUAUAAGGGAAUAAAGUGCGGGACGUGUCCCGUUUUGUAUGUACCUUAUGAAUAAGGAUCGGCUAACUCCGUGCCAGCAGCCGCGGUAAUACGGAGGAUCCGAGCGUUAUCCGGAUUUAUUGGGUUUAAAGGGUGCGUAGGCGGCCUUUUAAGUCAGCGGUGAAAGUCUGUGGCUCAACCAUAGAAUUGCCGUUGAAACUGGGGGGCUUGAGUAUGUUUGAGGCAGGCGGAAUGCGUGGUGUAGCGGUGAAAUGCAUAGAUAUCACGCAGAACCCCGAUUGCGAAGGCAGCCUGCCAAGCCAUUACUGACGCUGAUGCACGAAAGCGUGGGGAUCAAACAGGAUUAGAUACCCUGGUAGUCCACGCAGUAAACGAUGAUCACUAGCUGUUUGCGAUACAUUGUAAGCGGCACAGCGAAAGCGUUAAGUGAUCCACCUGGGGAGUACGCCGGCAACGGUGAAACUCAAAGGAAUUGACGGGGGCCCGCACAAGCGGAGGAACAUGUGGUUUAAUUCGAUGAUACGCGAGGAACCUUACCCGGGUUUGAACGCAUUCGGACCGAGGUGGAAACACCUUUUCUAGCAAUAGCCGUUUGCGAGGUGCUGCAUGGUUGUCGUCAGCUCGUGCCGUGAGGUGUCGGCUUAAGUGCCAUAACGAGCGCAACCCUUGCCACUAGUUACUAACAGGUAAAGCUGAGGACUCUGGUGGGACUGCCAGCGUAAGCUGCGAGGAAGGCGGGGAUGACGUCAAAUCAGCACGGCCCUUACAUCCGGGGCGACACACGUGUUACAAUGGCGUGGACAAAGGGAAGCCACCUGGCGACAGGGAGCGAAUCCCCAAACCACGUCUCAGUUCGGAUCGGAGUCUGCAACCCGACUCCGUGAAGCUGGAUUCGCUAGUAAUCGCGCAUCAGCCAUGGCGCGGUGAAUACGUUCCCGGGCCUUGCACACACCGCCCGUCAAG